UACGUAGGGUGCAAGCGUUGUCCGGAAUUAUUGGGCGUAAAGAGCUCGUAGGCGGUUUGUCGCGUCGAAUGUGAAACCCGGGGCUCAACCCCGGGCCUGCAUUCGAUACGGGCAGACUAGAGUUCGGUAGGGGAGUCGUGGAAUUCCUGGUGUAGCGGUGAAAUGCGCAGAUAUCAGGAGAACACCGUGGCGAAGGCGGCCGC
rnacentral:rRNA from 1 species